rnacentral:rRNA from 1 species
UACGGAGGGGGCCAGCGUUGUUCGGAAUCAUUGGGCGUAAAGGGCGCGUAGGCGGCCAAUCAAGUCCGACGUGAAAUUCCCCGGCUCAACCGGGGGCCUGCGUCGGAUACUGCUUGGCUUGAGUCCCGGAGAGGGUAGUGGAAUUCCCGAGUGUAGCGGUGAAAUGCGUAGAUACUGGGAGGAACACCGGUGGCGAAGGCGGCUACCUGGACGGGUACUGACGCUGAGGCGCGAAAGCGUGGGGAGCAAACAGG